rnacentral:rRNA from 1 species
UAAAGCACUUUCAGUGAGGGAGGAUUGUAGUUGCGGAUAAUACCCGUGAUUAUUGACGUUACCUACAGAAGAAGCACCGGCUAACUCAGUGCCAGCAGCCGCGGUAAUACUGAGGGUGCAAGCGUUAAUCGGAAUUACUGGGCGUAAAGCGCGCGUAGGUGGUUAGAUCAGUUGGGUGUGAAAGCCCCGGGCUCAACCUGGGAACUGCAUUCAAUACUGUCUAGCUAGAGUAUGGUAGAGG